CAAUGGGCAACCGGCGAACGGGUGCGUAACACGUGAGCAACCUGCCGAAGUGUGGGGGAUAGCCGGCCUAACGGCCGAGUAAUACCGCAUACGAUUCCGAAGAGGCAUUUCUUUGGAAUGAAACCUACGGGGUACUUCGAGGGGCUCGCGGCCUAUCAGCUAGUUGGUGAGGUAACGGCUCACCAAGGCGACGACGGGUAGCUGGUCUGAGAGGAUGGCCAGCCACAUUGGGACUGAGAAACGGCCCAGACUCCUACGGGAGGCAGCAGUGGGGAAUCUUGCGCAAUGGCCUAACGGCUGACGCAGCGACGCCGCGUGAGGGAUGAAGCUCCUCGGAGUGUAAACCUCUGUUGCCCGGGACGAACAGCUCGUUUAAACGAGCCUGACGGUACCGGGUGAGGAAGCACCGGCUAACUCCGUGCCAGCAGCCGCGGUAAUACGGGGGGUGCGAGCGUUGUCCGGAAUCACUGGGCGUAAAGGGCGCGUAGGUGGUCUGAUAAGGGUGUGGUGAAAGUCCGGGGCUCAACCCCGGAUCUGCCGUGCCGACUGUCAGACUCGAGGACUGUAGAGGCAGGCGGAAUUCCGGGUGUAGCGGUGGAAUGCGUAGAGAUCCGGAGGAAGACCGGUGGCGAAGGCGGCCUGCUGGGCAGUUUCUGACACUGAGGCGCGACAGCGUGGGGAGCAAACAGGAUUAGAUACCCUGGUAGUCCACGCCGUAAACGAUGGGUACUAGGUGCCUGGGGGAGCGACCCUCUGGGUGCCGGCGCUAACGCAGGAAGUACCCCGCCUGGGGAGUACGGCCGCAAGGCUG
rnacentral:rRNA from 1 species